UACCACAAAUAUUCAUUAGGUACAUUUUGUGAAAUGUUCUUUUCCCUAAAAUACUUCAGAAAAAUGAACAAGGAGUAAAAGAGAGAAUGAAAUGAGGGUCUGUCUUGUUUUAAAAACAGAUAGCUGCUAUGUGAUGCACAGCUGCUAUGGAUUGAAUUGUGUCCAUCCUUGACUCCCAAUGUGAUGGUAUUAGGAAGUAGGGCCUUCGGGAGGUAUCCAGGUUGACAUGGUGUUUUGAUGGUGGUCCCUCAUGAUGGGAUUAGCUUUUCCAUAUUUUUCUCUCUUAUUGUUCCUCUUCCUCCUUCCCUUCCCCCACCACAUGUGAGAACAUAGCAAGAAGAGUAAGACUGAUGCAAGUCAAGAAUGUCUUCACCGGGAACUCAACUGGCCAUCACCUCGAUGUUGCAGUCUCCAGUCUAUGACAACCUGUGGGACUAAGAGAACCCAAAUGAUGAUAAGUUCCAGUGGGCAAGGCCUCUAAGGUCCUUGGUGUCACAGCAGCUGUGUGCCAAGUGGUCUACCACUCCCAAUCCUGAGACCAGGACCCAUGAACAUCACCAGAUAUUUACAGCCCUCUGCUCACCAGAGGCAGCCUCAGCAUCCUCAGCAACACCCACCUCUGAUCCACUUGUUCACUAAUUGGCACUGAGCUUCAGUCUGGAACAAGUGUUCUGGAGCAAGUCCAAUCUCCCUCAUCGAAGAGAUGGGAAACUGAACUUUGGGGUGUAUGACUCACCUUAAGGCUGCAGGUCUCUGUCUGUUUUGGCUUGCAGAUAUGGAUAUGGAUGAGGUUAUAAGAGAGGCCAUGGUCCAGGCUGUACAAUAUAUGGCAAAAACAAGAAACAAAAGAAGAUAAGAAAGUAUAAAAAUUCAAAAUCUAAAGGAAACCAUGCUUAUAAUCAUAAUUUUGCA
rnacentral:lncRNA from 1 species